rnacentral:lncRNA from 1 species
UUUCCUCUCCCAUGCAACAUUGUUGCUUCCCUUGAUCACGAAGAAGGUAAUAUGGUUGUGGUCUACUGUGGUGUGAGUGCUUGGUUUUGUUGAGGGUUCUGGGUAUUUCGGAACAUAUAUUUGGGAUUUUCAAGUCUAUUAUGGAAUACCCAUUUCAUAAUACACUUGUAAAUUCAGAAAUGUACUAUGGAACACCUAUUUUGUAAUUCAAUUAAGAACUUUUGAGUUUUUGGC